GCCGGGCGUGGUGGCUCACGCCUGUAAUCCUAGCACUUUGGGAGGCUGAGGCAGGAAGAUCCCUGGAGUCCAGGAGUAUGAGACCAGCUUGGGCAACAUAGGGAGGCCCUGUCUCUU
rfam:Pan troglodytes isolate Yerkes chimp pedigree #C0471 (Clint) chromosome 14, whole genome shotgun sequence.